rnacentral:tRNA from 1 species
GCGUCGGUGGCGGAGUGGUCAAUCGCACUUGACUGUAAAUCAAGCGCCUUCGGGCUUCGUUGGUUCGAAUCCAACCCGGCGCACCC